rnacentral:rRNA from 1 species
CAGUAGCCGCGGGAAUACGAAGGGUGCAAGCGUUAAUCGGAAUUACUGGGCGUAAAGCGUGCGUAGGUGGUGGUUUAAGUCCGUUGUGAAAGCCCUGGGCUCAACCUGGGAAUUGCAGUGGAUACUGGGUCACUAGAGUGUGGUAGAGGAUAGUGGAAUUUCCGGUGUAGCAGUGAAAUGCGUAGAGAUCGGAAGGAACAUCUGUGGCGAAGGCGACUAUCUGGGCCAACACUGACACUGAGGCACGAAAGCGUGGGGAGCAAACAGGAUUAGAUACCCGUGUAGUCCCUGUCUCUUAUAC